UGAAAACCUCUGACCUGUUGACUCCAGGCCUGGCUCCGCUCAUCAUGACGGUUUGUUGUCGUAGUUUUGAUUGCACAGAACACCUCCUGAUGGCGGAGCAGUGGCAGAGACGUCUCCCUGCCACCCCCGGCAGCUGUCUCCCCUCACUGGUUUAACCCCCAAUUUUUGUAUCUCCUCCUCAGCCACAGCCAGAAGCUUGCUUUUUCGGCUUCUUCUGCAAGGGUUUUGGUAACUCUUUGGAUCUUCGUCCCAGAUUCCUGUAGAAAUCUGGUUGUUGAGGUGCUGACGAAGCCCCGACAGCCCACCUCCACGGGGUAGAUGAUGGUUGACCAGUCUGCCUCUCUGCACUCAGCUGCCAGGUCUGCAUAUUUUGCCUUCUUGCGCUCGUGAGCAGCCGACAUUCCCUCUUCCCAGGGGAUGGUGAGCUCCACGAGAAGGACUGUUCUCGCAGUAGCUGACCAAAGCAUAAUGUCAGGUCGGAGUGAUGUUAAGUGAAAUACGAUCUGGUGAGAACACAGUGUCUUAUUCUGAAAAUUAAACAGAUGUUUUCA